rnacentral:lncRNA from 1 species
CCCGAGAAAGUAUCAUUAGAUUUGUUGUGAAAAAUGUUAUUACUAUAAAGUUUUAUUACCAUUCGAUACAUAAUAACUCGUGGUGGAAGUUAUAUACUAUCGUUCUAUAAUCCAAUUGUUAAUGCGCCAAACAUCAUACGUCUCAUCUAGCCAAGCUAAGAAGUUCAAUGAAAAAACAGAAAUCACAAAAGUGCAUGACCAAGUUG